UAACUUAUUGGCAGAUAAAUGCAUUAGAAUUAGAAUCUAAUAAACUAUCA
rnacentral:tRNA from 1 species